UAUAUACAAGUUCCGUCAGUCUAACGAGCAAUAUAAACUGCUCGAUGGAAGAUCUUCCCUUUGUCGU
rnacentral:pre_miRNA from 1 species